UAAGGAAUAUUGGUCAAUGGACGCAAGUCUGAACCAGCCAUGCCGCGUGGAGGAUGAAGGUCCUCUGGAUUGUAAACUUCUUUUGUCUGGGACGAAACACUUCUUUUCUAAGAGGCCCGACGGUACCAGAUGAAUAAGCACCGGCUAACUCCGUGCCAGCAGCCGCGGUAAUACGGAGGGUGCAAGCGUUAUCCGGAUUCACUGGGUUUAAAGGGUGCGUAGGUGGGUAUGUAAGUCAGUGGUGAAAUCCCCGAGCUUAACUUGGGAACUGCCAUUGAUACUAUAUAUCUUGAAUACCGUAGAGGUAAGCGGAAUAUGUCAUGUAGCGGUGAAAUGCUUAGAUAUGACAUGGAACACCAAUUGCGAAGGCAGCUUACUAUGCGGUGAUUGACACUGAGGCACGAAAGCGUGGGUAGCAAACA
rnacentral:rRNA from 1 species